GGUGAAUACGUUCCCGGGCCUUGUACACACCGCCCGUCACACCAUGGGAGUGGGUUGCAAAAGAAGUAGGUAGCUUAACCUUCGGGAGGGCGCUUACCACUUUGUGAUUCAUGACUGGGGUGAAGUCGUAACAAGGUAACCGUAGGGGAACCUGCGGUUGGAUCACCUCCUUACCUUAAAGAA
rnacentral:rRNA from 5 species